GUAGUGGAUCAUAUCUCAAUUAUGACUCACUCACUUCACCCUCACCUCACUCACACGGCCUCACCCCUCACAUCCCCAUUCCCCUAUUUCACACAGCCGACCCUCACUCAUGGCCUCUCAUCCAAAAAUAUCAGCGAUUCCUCAGGCAGCCCACAACCUCAAUCCUCUGCGACAACCCUCAUCCUCCCUCAUUUAUGACAACUCACGACUCUUCGUCCUCCGUCCUGCCUCCUUAAUGGGUUCCUUGUCGGUGUCAUGAGUAAAGAAUCCUUGUGGAAUGAAGGACAUUUACCUAGAUCAGUGAAGGUAGAAGAUUGGGAUAGGGAUAGAGAUCGUGAAAGGGAUGAUGGGGUUAAAGAUAAACAAGAGAUGGCAUGUGUUUGACAUUUACUUGAUAUUGCCAUCCUGAUUCUAAGACCAACAACCCCAAAACGAAUUAUCUAAUAGUAUUUUUAUGGUUUCCUCCUUACUUGGUAUGUAUAUUCCUUUUUGCAUCGUUAUUGUUAUGUCUUUGUAAAGCAAUCUCUGGUCACUCAUGACUUAUUUAGUUGCAUUUGCAAUAAGUCUUAUAUGAAGGAAGCUUCUAUUAUGUUGCAAAAGAUAGCAGUUGUACAAAUUUGUACUCAAAAUUGGUUGAUUGAAAUAACAUCUCAAUUUUAGACGACAAGACAAUAUUGGAA